rnacentral:lncRNA from 1 species
GAUAAUAUAGAUGACAUCAAGCUGAAGAUGAGAAUUAACAGUGGAUGCAUACGUAGAUGCAGUCACUACAGAUCACCCCUUUGAUUAGCUUGUUUGCAACAAUGCGAAACAUCCUUGAUUGUGUAGGCACAAAACGAGAAGCAAGUCAGAAAAAAUGACAUUAGAAAGGUCACGAAUUUCAUGGUAUAGUUCAAGGGCAGAAUAACCAUCAGUGGCAUUUGAAGAACUAUUUUCUUUUCCCUGACAUGUUCUGCCAUAGUUCCUCCCUGUUUUAGACCUUCCAGCAAGUGAACUGGAGUUGGACCAUUUAGAGAAGCCUCCCCAUCUGGAAAGUGGACAAUUCUAACCUCUACACAUUGAAUUUGUGAUACUGCUCACAAAUCUCUAAGUCUGGAUUUGAUACUUCCAACUUCAAAUGCAAUAUAAGCAACCAGAACACCUGAAUAAAAAAGCAAGUUUAAACAAAACGAAGAAAGGGAAACAAAUGCAUAUAUGGGUAUACUUUAUACACAUUAUAUAUAUAUAUAUAUAUAUCUAUAGAGAGAGAGAGAGGUAAGUCAUGAACUAUUUGUAUGAUUAAUAGCAUCAUCUCUCCUGCUAUUAUCAACUACGGUGGUUCACCCAAAACACAACAAUAUCAAGCAUACGACACACAGACAAGAAACAGGAAAUUCUUAAUUGGUUGAUGGAAAAUUUUACCCAAACAAUCUAAUACCAAAAUUUAACUACUGAACACUUAAUUGAUUGAUUGAAAACCCUUGAGUUCUCUCUUACCUAGUAUAAUUUUUCCAACUUCAAUUAGUUCUGGAAUCGCUCUCAAAAUCAUUCUGUUUAUGCAAAAUAACGACAUCGAAGCUAACGCUAAUGAGCCUAAUCCUAAUCAAAUUGAAUAAUACCCACAGAAAGAACUCAAUCAACGAACAUACUUACAUAAAAAGAAAAUUAACCCAGCCUGCUUGUCAAGAGGGUGGUGGAAGUCAAGCCUUGAGGUUGUGGAAGAAAACAGAGGAACAUCAAUCUGCUACUCAUGGCUAAGCUGGCCCGCUAGGCACGUCGGAGGUGUUGAAUUGAGAAAGAUAGGAGACGCAAACCUCAAAAUGAU